rnacentral:rRNA from 1 species
UACGUAGGAUGCAAGCGUUGUCCGGAAUUAUUGGGCGUAAAGAGCUCGUAGGCGGUUUGUUGCGUCGGCUGUGAAAACCCGGGGCUCAACCCCGGGCCUGCAGCCGAUACGGGCAGACUAGAGUUCGGCAGGGGAGACUGGAAUUCCUGGUGUAGCGGUGAAAUGCGCAGAUAUCAGGAGGAACACCGGUGGCGAAGGCGGGUCUCUGGGCCGAUACUGACGCUGAGGAGCGAAAGCGUGGGGAGCGAACAGG